rnacentral:rRNA from 1 species
CAGUCGCCGCGGUAAUACAGAGGGUGCAAGCGUUAAUCGGAAUUACUGGGCGUAAAGCGCGCGUAGGUGGUUUGUUAAGUUGGAUGUGAAAUCCCCGGGCUCAACCUGGGAACUGCAUUCAAAACUGACUGACUAGAGUAUGGUAGAGGGUGGUGGAAUUUCCUGUGUAGCGGUGAAAUGCGUAGAUAUAGGAAGGAACACCAGUGGCGAAGGCGACCACCUGGACUAAUACUGACACUGAGGUGCGAAAGCUAGGGGAGCAAACAGGAUUAGAUACCCGAGUAGCCCUGUCUCUUAUACA